rnacentral:misc_RNA from 1 species
GGAAUAAAAGUCGUAACAAGGCCUCCGUUGGUGAACCAGCGGAGGGAUCAUUACCGAGUUUACAACUCCCAAACCCCUAUGUGAACGUUACCAAACUGUUGCCUCGGCGGGAAAUUCAUGCCCCGGGCGCGUCGCAGCCCCGGACCAAGGCGCCCGCCGGAGGACCAACCAAAACUCUUUUGUAUGUCCCUCGCGGACUUUUAUAAUUCUGAACCAUCUCGGCGCCCCUAGCGGGCGUUUCGAAAAUGAAUCAAAACUUUCAACAACGGAUCUCUUGGUUCUG